ACAAAGUCUUUUUGAGAUACCAUAAACAAAACUGAUGGAAGAAUACUACCCCCUAAUGACCCAUCAAUCACUUUCCACAUCAAGCCAUGUUCUUGAAUCCUGAUGCCACAAAGACAGAAGUCUUUAUUGUUAUUCUCAGCUUUCCCUGAUCUUGGUGAAUGUUUGAUCAUCUGUCUCUCUGCUUCUUCUUCCUUAUCUUUGCUGUCCUAUAAUCAUCCUAAACUAACCUCAUUAAAGCCACUUCUCUCCUCCAUUCAAUGUGCUCCAUCUCCUCCUGCAAAGUAGGUGUACAGAGAGAAGAAUGAAAGGAGUGAUCAAUUUUAUAAACUAAAACCCACAAGCAAUACCCACACUGUUUACCUUUUUAGCUUGAUUGCUGCUAUGGUGUUACAGCCUUGCAUUUUCUACGGUGGCUCAGAAAACGCAUUUAUAGCAGAGAAAGACACAUUGCAGGGAAAAUGGUAGUGUAAUUUCCAGAGUACCAGUCUGGCCUUCAUCAUUGCAUUUCACCUACAAAUCUUCACUCUUUUCUUUCCUCUCUGAGCAAAUUCUCCCCCACCAUUUCUGAGUCUUAAGAUUCUGUCCUUUUUUGGCUGGGUUUGCUUCUUUGGGGAAUCUCGU
rnacentral:lncRNA from 1 species